rnacentral:lncRNA from 1 species
GGUGGUUGUGAGCACGGAGAUGGUGGGAUACAACUGGUAUCCUGGAAAAGAUCGGUCUAUGCUAAUCCCCAACUGUUACAUCAGAAUGGGUUGCUCCGCCCUUCUUCUUUCCAACCGCAGCCGUGACUACCGCCGUGCCAAAUAUAGACUUGAGCACAUCGUUCGUACCCAUAAAGGAGCUGAUGAUCGAUAUUUCAGGUACCCAUUUCUCCAUUUCUUCAAAAGUUAACAUCUUCAAAUCAAAUUCAUUUACUCAUCGUUAAUUACAGGAGUGUGUAUCAAGAGGAAGACGAACAAAGGUUCAAAGGGCUAAAGAUCAGCAAAGAUCUGGUGGAGAUAGGCGGCGACGCCCUCAAAACAAACAUCACCACCUUGGGUCCGUUAGUGUUGCCGUUAUCGGAGCAACUCCUUUUCUUCGCAACUCUCGUGAAGAGAUACCUCUCC